AUCUUUAGUAAUAUAAACAAUUCAAAAAUGAAUUUUAAAAAACCUUUUUUAAUAAAACAUGUACAAUUAAAACAUUUUUUUCUCAAAAAGAAUUAUUUCUUUCUUCUUUAAAAAUAAAUAUAAUCAAAUUCAAUUUCAACUAUUCAUUCAUUCAUCACAUUUUUUUUAGAGAACAUGCAUAAAUAUGCAUAGUAAUGCAAAGUAAUGCCAUGUAAUGCCAGCAUUACACUAGAUUUUGGAAAGUAAUGCAUUACAUUAUCAUUACUUGUAAUGCUAAUUUUGAGGCAUUACACAUUACUAGCAUUAUUUUGAAAAACAUGUAAUGCAUUGCAAUGCAUUACCAUUACAUUUAGCAUUACCCCAAGCCUGAUAUAAACCCAUUCUUUGGACAUCUUUAUGAUAAGAAGUCAAAUAUUAAAUGUACAUGACACGCUGUUUCAACUUUGUAUAAUACAGAUUAAAAUAAAUGUGUGGGGUGACAUUCGGUCCUUCACUUAUUUUAAACCAAUGUUAAAAUCUGGUCAGUGGUAAAUUACUACCAGGAUACGAAUUGUAAAUUGCAUAAUGAACGCAAUACGUCAGAUUAGGCGGGCAGAGUAUGGAUACAAGUAAUAUGGCGAUGACUAAGAGGGCACUGAACUAGUUAUGUAGCAUGAAAAAACUGUUUUUGUACUGGGGCUAACACAAAUUUAUCUACACAACCAAAGGUUGUAAACAUAGAAAGGUUAUAUGAAUGAAACCUAAAUUCCAAUGUUUUCACUAUUGUUAUUGAACAUCAAAUGGGUGACAAUUUAGCUUGGAUUGAGGCAUAAGACCAGAGUAAGAACUACUUCCGAUUUAUAAGCAGGAACUUAAGUUGAAGCACAUUAUCUCUUCUUAAACAAUCAGCGACUGUCCAAUGUUAAGUACCAAAAAAAUAUAUGCUGAAGAAUGUUGAUACACUUUUGAGCUUAAAAUAGAGAAAGAAAAUAGUAUUCAGUUGUUCUGGUAUUUAAAUUAUGAAAAUACACCCAUUUUGAAGUGUCGGUUUGCUGAGAACAGGACGUGUGUCCCACAAGAUGGUAGUCUUCUUAUAUUAUCAGUACUACUCAAUGUCCUAUAUAGGAAAUGGCCGAGUAACUCGCUUAAGUAGCCAUUUCUGGUUUCAAAUUGUAGUAUUUAUCAUAAUACACAGUGUAUGGACGAUGAAGCAGUCUGUAGUAUCUCCGGUACGCACAUUCAUCAUUGUUUCUAUGCUUAACGAUUUGGGAUUAAAUCUUAUGGUGUGACGCGACAUUCUGAGGAAAUGGCUUUGGUCCAUUUAGCAUGCGUUUUUCUUCUGUUGAUGGGAUUACCAGCAUCAUCAUCGAGUGAUUGCGAAACUUGUUUCAGUGCAUAUCAAUACAUGUGUGUGGAAACAACGUGUUACAGAGUCCCAACCACUAGGCUAUUCGAUAUGCGAUACCGUUUUCGAUGUAUUAGAAUGUGUCGUAUGAAGAAGGACUAUUGUGACUCAUUGUGUUUGACUACAAAACGUUAAUUCUGGUUCCGAAGGAACAUAUUCCAUGGAAUGUUACAUGCAGAAAGUGACUGCUUAAAAAUGCGAAUUGCAUACAUUUGGAGGUGACCAAAUGCGUAUUAAUGUUUAUUAUGAUGGAUUAUAACAAAAAGACGAUCUCAUUCAUGUUUUUUUUUCAUACUUACAACUGUGUACCAUUCAUUGUCAACUUUAAAGACAUUUUCUUCACAUUUUUGAUAGAGCCGGAUUUGUUGGGCAUUUUGUAAUGCCAGUAUGAGCGUCUCUGGAUGUUCAUGCAUAUUUUAAAUUAACUGAUCUCUUCAUUUAUCCACUAUUUCACUGCCACAGUUUGAUGUCGUAUGUUUUGUAUAAAUGUUAAUAAAAUUAUGAAAACAAGA